UACAGAGGGUGCGAGCGUUAAUCGGAAUUACUGGGCGUAAAGCGUGCGUAGACGGUUAUUUAAGUCGGGUGUGAAAGCCCCGGGCUCAACCUGGGAAUUGCAUUCGAGACUGAAUAGCUAGGGUACGGUAGAGGGAAGUGGAAUUUCCGGUGUAGCGGUGAAAUGCGUAGAUAUCGGAAGGAACACCAGUGGCGAAAGCGGCUUCCUGGUCCAGCAUCGACGUUCAGGCACGAAAGCGUGGGGAGCAAACAGG
rnacentral:rRNA from 1 species